rnacentral:rRNA from 1 species
UGAAUGGCUUGACGAAGAAAUCAACUGUCUCUUAAUAAUUUUUAAAAUUUAACUUUUGAGUCAAAAGGCUUAAAUUUUUCUUUAGGACGAGAAGACCCUAUAGAGCUUAACAUUUUAUUUUUAUAUAGUUUUUAGUUGAUCUUUCUAUAUUUAAUGAUAAUGUUUUGUUGGGGUGACAUGAAGAAUAAUUAAACUCUUCAUUAUAAAAUCAUUGAUUUAUGUUUAUCAUGAUCCAUAAUUUAUGAUCAUAAGAUUAAGUUACCUUAGGGAUAACAGCGUAAUUGUUUUCGAGAGCUCAUAUCGACAAAGCAGAUUGCGACCUC